AGAGGCGGCAGGGUAGCCUAGUGGUUAGAGUGUAGAGGCGGCAGGGUAUCCUAGUGGUUAGAGUGUAGAGGCGGCAUGGUAGCCUAGUGGUUAGAGUGUAGAGGCGGCAGGGUAGCCUAGUGGUUAGAGUGUAGAGGCGGCAGGGUAGCCUAGUGGUUAGAGUGUAGAGGCGGCAGGGUAGCCUAGUGGUUAGAGUGUAGAGGCGGCAGGGUAGCCUAGUGGUUAGAGUGUAGAGGCGGCAGGGUAGCCUAGUGGUUAGAGUGUAGAGGCGGCAGGGUAGCCUAGUGGUUAGAGUGUAGAGGCGGCAGGGUAGCCUAGUGGUUAGAGCG